rnacentral:rRNA from 1 species
UACGAAGGGUGCUAGAGAUGUUCGGAAUUACUGGGCGUAAAGCGCACGUAGGCGGCUCUGUAAGUUGGGGGUGAAAUCCCGAGGCACAACCUCGGAAUUGCCUUCAAGACUGCAGGGCUUGAGUUCGGGAGAGGUGAGUGGAAUUCCCAGUGUAGAUGUGAAAUUCGUAGAGAUUGGGAAGAACACCAGUGGCGAAGGCGGCUCACUGGCCCGUAACUGAAGCUGAGGUCCCAAAGCGUGCGGAGCUAACAGG